rnacentral:tRNA from 1 species
UGGCCGGUCGCCAAGUUGGUAAGGCAUCGGGUUUUGAUCCCGACAUGCGCAGGUUCGAGUCCUGCUCGGCCAG